CUGGCGGCAGGCCUAACACAUGCAAGUCGAGCGGUAGCACAGAAGAGCUUGCUCUUUUGGGUGACGAGCGGCGGACGGGUGAGUAAUGUCUGGGAAACUGCCUGAUGGAGGGGGAUAACUACUGGAAACGGUAGCUAAUACCGCAUAACGUCGCAAGACCAAAGUGGGGGACCUUCGGGCCUCAUGCCAUCAGAUGUGCCCAGAUGGGAUUAGCUAGUAGGUGAGGUAAUGGCUCACCUAGGCGACGAUCCCUAGCUGGUCUGAGAGGAUGACCAGCCACACUGGAACUGAGACACGGUCCAGACUCCUACGGGAGGCAGCAGUGGGGAAUAUUGCACAAUGGGCGCAAGCCUGAUGCAGCCAUGCCGCGUGUAUGAAGAAGGCCUUCGGGUUGUAAAGUACUUUCAGCGAGGAGGAAGGCGAUAAGGUUAAUAACCUUGUCGAUUGACGUUACUCGCAGAAGAAGCACCGGCUAACUCCGUG
rnacentral:rRNA from 1 species